ACUUAAAUUGAAGAGUUUGAUCAUGGCUCAGAUUGAACGCUGGCGGCAGGCCUAACACAUGCAAGUCGAGCGGUAGCACAGAGAGCUUGCUCUCGGGUGACGAGCGGCGGACGGGUGAGUAAUGUCUGGGAAACUGCCUGAUGGAGGGGGAUAACUACUGGAAACGGUAGCUAAUACCGCAUAACGUCGCAAGACCAAAGUGGGGGACCUUCGGGCCUCAUGCCAUCAGAUGUGCCCAGAUGGGAUUAGCUAGUAGGUGGGGUAACGGCUCACCUAGGCGACGAUCCCUAGCUGGUCUGAGAGGAUGACCAGCCACACUGGAACUGAGACACGGUCCA
rnacentral:rRNA from 1 species